AAAAAAAAAGCAGAAAAGAAGAACUGAAGAAAAACCAUAAACUCCCACAAUGAAUGAACAAACACAGUGAAAGAACGAAAGUUGACUGAUGAUUAUCAUAUCAAACUCUCUGCGGAUUGUCGUAUUGCCUUUUCUUCUCUCCUACACACUUGCUUCCAUACUUAUAAGUAAGUGCGUUUCCUCACAUUUUCAUGAUCUCAAUACUGGGUAGUAGUUAAUAGAAAAAGGGAGUCAAAAUGGAAGAAAACUAAUUAACAAACCUAAACUCAUUUCCAAAGCUCUGCAGAAAAAGAUCAAUAAGAUAGAGGCACCAUCAUAAUUAAUAAAACCCUAUACUCAUAGAGACGAAGGAA
rnacentral:lncRNA from 1 species